UACACUUUACUAAAAUAGUAAUAAUGGGUUGUCAAAAAAGUAUUGCGGUACUUUCGCUAGUUGGCGCUGAAAGCGCGUAGUUCUAGUUUUAUUCGUCGCAUCGGGUCAUGUUAUAUCUUUUUGGAAAGCUCAUUUCACGCGCUAACGUGUUUUUGAUUGAUUGUCGUUUCUUUCAAGUCGUUCGUGAGUUAUAGCGUCGCAUACAUGGAGCAAAAUAAAGGGAAAAUACGGCAUAUUUUACAGUACUACUACGAUAAAGGCAAAUAUGCAUCUCAAGCCGCCAAUAAAAAUGGUGCAGUUUAUGGACCCGAUACAGUUUCCAUUUCCACCGCACAACGAUGGUUUCAACGUUUUCGUUCUGGUGUAGUGGUGGUCGCAGAUGCCCCACGCUCCGAAAGGCCUGUCGUCGCAAAUUGAGAUAAAAUCGCUGAAUUGGUCGAAAGAGACCGGCAUAGUAGCAGCCGUAGCAUCGGUUAAGAGCUGGGCAUGAGUCCUCAAAAAUUCAUUUCAAUUUACUUAUUUACUUUUUUGUAAGCCCACAGUAAACGAGUACAUGCACUAGAAAAGGCUACCAUAGUAUCAACGCCAUGAUAGUAAGAUAUGUGAUCACACUUACAAAAUUAUGGCUAUUAACUGUCAAUACGGCGGUGCAGCCCACGACUCAUUUCUUUGGAAACAAUCGGGCCAGAGAAGAGUUUUGGAAGAACGAUUUCAGCACUACAGGAAUGAAAAUUCAUGGCUUUUAGGGGAUUCUGGCUACCCAUUGGAACCAUGGUGCAUAACUCCUUACAGAAACGCUUCGGAUGGUUCAAGUGAAGCUAUGUUCAAUGAAAUUAAUUCCAAGGCAAGAUGUAUCGUCGAACGAACUAUCGGAAUUUUAAAAGUACGCUGGAGAAUUUUAGGAUAUGGGAAGAGAGGAAGGUACCUUCCGACAAAAGUGGCAAAAUUUGCUAACGUUUGUGCAGCGUUACACAACAUCUGCAUAAAAUUUAAAAUAAAUUAUGAUCCUCAGAAUUGCUAUUCUGAUCAAACAACGGAUAUCGACACCAGGGUAGCGAACCGCCUCACCGCAAUCGGCCAAACAAUAAGAGAUCAAAUAAAGUACUCUUUAAUAAAUUGAA